rnacentral:rRNA from 1 species
AACAACGCUGGCGGCGUGCUUAACACAUGCAAGUCGAGUGCGCGCCUGUAGCAAUACAGGUGGCGCACGGCGCACGGGUGCGUAACACGUGGGCAAUCUGCCCUUCGAUGGGGAAUAACUCCGGGAAACCGAAGCUAAUUCCGCAUAACAUUCCUUGGACUCCGGUUCGAGGACUCAAAGCCGUAAGGCGUCGAAGGAGGAGCCCGCGCCCGAUUAGCUAGUUGGCGAGGUAACGGCUCACCAAGGCAAUGAUCGGUAGCUGGUCUGAGAGGAUGGCCAGCCACACUGGAACUGAGACACGGUCCAGACUCCUACGGGAGGCAGCAGUGGGGAAUCUUGCACAAUGGGCGAAAGCCUGAUGCAGCGACGCCGCGUGGGGGAUGAAGCAUUUCGGUGUGUAAGCCCCUUUCGACCGGGAAGAAUGCCCGCAAGGGAGUGACGGUACCGGUAUAAGAAGCCCCGGCUAACUACGUGCCAGCA